CGGGCGGCCGUGACCCUGCUGGAGUGCGGGGGGGACCUCCAGCCCCCCGGGGGGUCCCUGACUCUGCUCUGCCACGGGAAUGGAUUCGAUUUUGAGAGCUUUGACAUGAUGUGGGCCCGCCAGAGCCCUGGGGAGGCGCUGGAAUGGGUCGCAGGGAUCUAUGCCAAUGGUGGCAGCACCUGGUACGCGCCGUCAGUCAAGGACCGGUUCUCGAUCUCGAGGGACAACGGGCAGAGCUCGGUGACGCUGACCAUGAACAACCUCAAGGACGAGGAUUCCGCCGUUUAUUUCUGCGCCAAAAGUGCUGGUGCUGGUGUUGUUGGUGCUAAUUUUGUUGAUCGUUUUGAUUGCAACUGUGUCACUGUGUCCCCAGCUUUCCCCAGACCCCUCCCCUAA